UACGUAGGGUGCAAGCGUUGUCCGGAAUUAUUGGGCGUAAAGAGCUCGUAGGCGGUCUGUCGCGUCUGCUGUGAAAACUCGGGGCUUAACCCCGGGCCUGCAGUGGGUACGGGCAGACUAGAGUGCGGUAGGGGAGACUGGAAUUCCUGGUGUAGCGGUGAAAUGCGCAGAUAUCAGGAGGAACACCGGUGGCGAAGGCGCCACUCUGGGCCGGCACUGACGCUGAGGAGCGAAAGCGUGGUAGCAAACAGG
rnacentral:rRNA from 1 species